ACCAAUUCUAGCCUAAUUAAACUUAAACCAAAUUAUAUUCACCAAUUAAAUCAAAACAUUUACCUACUAAAAGUAUAGGAGAUAGAAAUUUAACACUAGAGCUAUAGAGAUAGUACCGCAAGGGAAAGAUGAAAGAUAAAUUUAAAGUACCAAAUAGCAAAGAUUAACCCUUUUACCUUUUGCAUAAUGAAUUAACUAGACUAACUUGACAAAGAGAUCUUAAGCCAAAACCCCCGAAACCAGACGAGCUACUUAAGGGCAGUCUUCUUGGACAAACUCAUCUAUGUGGCAAAAUAGUGAGAAGACCUUUAAAUAGAGGUGAAAAGCCAACCGAGCCUGGUGAUAGCUGGUUGCCCAGCUAUGGAAUUUAAGUUCAACCUAAAAUUUACCAAAAAAGACCUAAUAACACUACAUGUAAAUUUUAGUUCUAGUCAAAAGAGGUACAGCUCUUUUGACAAAGGAUUCAACCUUAUUUAGAGAGUAAUCAUAUCUGUUACCAUAGUUGGCUUAAAAGCAGCCAUCAAUUAAGAAAGCGUUCAAGCUCAACAUAAAAUAAACCAUAAUACCACAAACAAUUUAUCAACUCCUAACACAACCACUGGGCCACUCUAUACACAAAUAGAAGAACUAAUGUUAAUAUAAGUAACAAGAAUAAUAUUCUCCAUGCACACCUUUAUUUCAGACCUAAUAAUGACUGAUAUUUAACAACUAAAUAAAAUAACCCACCUAAUAAGCUCAAUUUAUUGAACGCAUUGUUAACCCGACACAGGAGUGCAUCCUAAAGGAAAGAUUAAAAGAGAUAAAAGGAACUCGGCAAACACAAAUCCCGCCUGUUUACCAAAAACAUCACCUCUAGCAUAAUUAGUAUUAGAGGCACUGCCUGCCCAGUGACACACGUUAAACGGCCGCGGUACUCUGACCGUGCAAAGGUAGCAUAAUCAUUUGUUCUUUAAUUAAGGACUUGUAUGAAUGGCCACACGAGGAUUUAACUGUCUCUUAUCUCCAAUCAGUGAAAUUGACCUUCCCGUGAAGAGGCGGGAAUAAUCAUAUAAGACGAGAAGACCCUAUGGAGCUUCAAUUAACUAACUCAUUAAUUUACAAAAACACCGAUAGAUACAAAACCACAAUUAAACUGAGCUAGCAAUUUCGGUUGGGGUGACCUCGGAGUAUAACACAACCUCCGAAUGAUAAAUAUCUAGACCUACAAGUCAAAAAUUUAAAUCAAUUAUUGACCCAAUAAAUUGAUCAACGGACCAAGUUACCCUAGGGAUAACAGCGCAAUCCUGUUAUAGAGUCCAUAUCGACAACAGGGUUUACGACCUCGAUGUUGGAUCAGGACAUCCUAUUGGUGCAGCAGCUAUUAAAGGUUCGUUUGUUCAACGAUUAAAGUCCUACGUGAUCUGAGUUCAGACCGGAGCAAUCCAGGUCGGUUUCUAUCUAUAUAAUUAUUUCUCCCAGUACGAAAGGACAAGAGAAAUAAGGCCUACUUCCCCAAAGCGCCUUAACAAAAAAAUUAUGAAAUAAUCUCAAUUUCUAAAAUAUUACUAUAACCCUAAAACAGGGUUC
rnacentral:rRNA from 1 species